rnacentral:lncRNA from 1 species
AUACGACCACGCCUCGGGCACAUUUUUCGAUCAGCUCCAUAAGUAUUUCUUGCACACCCAUGCGAGCUAAAUUAGCUCAAUUGCAUCUCGCUGAGCUUCGUUUAGCUUGUUUCCAGCUCAAUGGGAUCAUUUUGCUCAAUUUGAGUUUAUUUUAAUUCUUAAAUUUUCAUUUGCUAAAAUAAAUUGAAUAAGUUAGUUUAUUUAUUUAUUCCAGCACAACAAAGUGUUAGUAUUAAAUUUAUUAAAAUUGGACAUUUUAAUUAGGUGUUUUAAAUAUGUUUUAUUUUUAUGUUUUUUUAAUGUGUCCUAUUUUCAUACAUAGCAUAAAUAUGUCUAGGCUAUUACAUCUAUUUAUUAUGACGAAUUUAAUUCUGCCACUGCAUGUUAUAAAUAUGUCUGGACGAAAUUAAUGCUGCUGCUACAUGUUUGGACGAAUUUAAUGUAUGUUUUUAAGGUGUCCAGCUGAAUUUAAUUGUCAUUACAUCAUUUAAUUUGCUUUGCUACAACCGAAUUUAAUGAUGUCUUAAAUGGUGUCCAGUUGAAGUUAAUUGUGGCUGCCGAAUUAAAUAUGUCUAGUUAACCAUUUAAUGUUGUCUUAACAUGAAUUAAUGGUUGUUGCAUGCAGGUACAUGGACAGCAUUAAAUGAAGUGGUUGUUGCCGAAAUUAAAAUUGCUGGAAUUAAUGUGCAGCAAAAGCAAUUAUGGACGGCCAUUCAAUGGAUGCUGGAAGCAUUUAAGGAGCUGCUUGUGCUUUUUCAUGUGGCCAUUUAAUGGACGAAAUUAAAGAAGCUGCUUGCUGAUUUAUUGUGCAGCAAAGCCAUGAAUUAAAUGUGAUGUUCCACAUGCAAGGAACGUCCACUUAAUGAGCUGCUGAUUUAUUUUUUUCGUGCACAGCAAGGGAUCCAUGAAGAGUUGCUGAUUCCUCUUUUCCAUGAGCCAUUUUCGUUCUUCUCAAAUGCCAUAAAUGUGCCGUCCAUGUGAGGGAAUGUGCCUCUUCGUGGAGAUUAAAAAGCUAUGACUCCUCACAUUUAUUUGGCAGCCCAUUUCUCUUCCCCAAGUUGGCCUUUGAGCUCCCCAAGCAUCCAUAAGAGCUUUCACACAAGUUGGACGAAUUUAGGCCAAUCUAAACAAUUCUAUUCAGCCAUUUCAGCUCAAUCAUCACCUCAUUAAUUCAAGGCUAUUAGAAGACAUCAAAUGGCUGUCCAUUGACGUCUCCAAAGCUGGGAAUCUUCAAGAAAGCUUCAAGGGACGUUCUAGGAAGCUACAUGAAAUUUUCAAUUCAUUUGCUUUGAAAAUAAGCUGACUUUUUAGCUGCUCAAGUGUCCAUUCAGCUAGCCUAGGAAUUUAGCUAUAAAUAGUUUGCUUUGUAAUUUUUUUGGGGUUAGGCAAUAUUUUUUUAAAACUUAUAUGAAAUUUGUUUACUUUGUGAGUUUGUUUUCAACUCUCAUUGUUCUCCAAGGACUAGUUAGACUUAUCAAGUAACCCUUGUGGCGUCAACCCGUUUUUAUAUUUCGAACUUAUCACUUUACACCCAAAGUGUGGCGUUCAAAGUUAUACCGAGGUUCCUAUCAUCUUUGAUAGUGGGUCGAGGUUCCAUUUUAUUCGUUUUCCAUCCAUACGACAUUUAACCUUUCCUAAGUUUUCGUAUAAGUCCCGGGUUAACACAUUUAUAUUGUGUUGGUUCAACUUGAAUAUUUGGUUUUCAUUCACCUAUCAACCUCAAUACAUUCCAUAACCCCUUUUGAACUAAAUUUGAGCCUUUAUCUCUUCUUUCUUAACCUAUUUCGUCCACCCUCAAGUAUUACUCCAAUUCACGAUCGGGAACAACAACGACUCGGAUUCAUCAACGAGGCCGGGGGCGUAUCAUUUGGUAUCAGAGCUAGCUGAAUCGGAGUAAGAUCGACGUUAUCGGUAUUACGGUAUUGUAAAAAAAAUAAAAAAAAAACUUGAAAAAAAAUUCGAAAAAAAAUUCAAAAAAAAAGUUUGUAUUCAAUUUAUUUUUACUUUUUGUAUUUAGUAUUGAAGGAAAAAAAGAAGAAAAAAAAUUCAAAAUUAAAAAAAAGAAGAAAAAAAAAUCGAAAUUGAAAAAAAAAAUAGUGAUUGAAAUUCAUUUUGGGUUUGUAAAAGCAUAGCUUGUUGCCCGAAGGACCAUAUCUAUAUAGCCACACUUAACCAUUUCUAUUUUGUUUGAUAGCCUACCAUUUCCGACAUCAUUACCCACCAAGCCAAAUCAAUUUUGUAAGCCGACGCCAAACGGUAUUGAUUCGUCGACUUAGUUUGCGAAGAACUUCGAGAGGCGAAAAAUCGAGUGGAAAAAGGCAAGAGUGAUUGGUGAGACCAUUUGAGAGAAGUAAAAGCCAAGUUGUGUGAAUUUUCUUUGCGAGUGAAACGUGAGAUUUUUGUGGUGAGCAAUUAAAUCAUGUCUCAAGAAGAAUUUUCCGAAUCAGAAUUCCAAUAUUUGAUGCAAGAAAUGCGUAGAAUGGUAAAAUUAAAAUUUGAUAAAUUGCAUUAUCGUUUGGACCGAGUAGAGGAAAAGGCCCGACAGAAACAAAAUCUACCAAGUCGAGAAAUGGAGUUAAGAUCAUCCCGACGACACUACUCGACAAGAGACUCUUAUCAAGACUUCUAUUCAACAAGGCGUUCGAGACCAAGAGAAGCAAACUCCGAGUUUGAGUCCUUCCGAGAUGAUAAACGAAAAGGUAAACGUGUCUCUACAAGUGCCUCAAUUUAUUCAUCUACAAAGGAUUAUUUACGAAGAGGUGCACGUGUUUCAAGAGUGUCAAAGUACUCGACUACGGAAGAUCUAUCACAAAGAGAAGAUUGCCAUUUGUAUGAAGAAUCCUUUUCUUAUUCUCAACGAAAGGCUUCUCAUUUUGAUGAUUUCUACUUUUGUAAUGGAAUUGAAAUAGCAUGUGAAAAAGAAAAAGAAAAAGAGCACAAGCGAGAAAAUGAACAUGAAAAAGAAAUGAAAGAAAAAGAAGAUGAGUGGGAGAUAGAAAAGAAAAUUGAAAAUGAGAUUGAGAAUAAAAACGAGUGCGAAAAAGAAAAGGAAACCGAAAAAGAGAGUGAGAUUGAAGGAAGAAACGAGAGUACAAAAGAAAUGAGUGAUAUGGUAAAAGAAAGAGGAUUUGAAAAUGAGUUGGAAAAAGAAAUAAACGAAAAGGAUGAAAGUGAAAAAGAAAGGAGUGUUGUUACUAACCAUCCUAUGAAUUUUCCUUGUUUUGUUUCUACUUUUCAGGUUUCUCGAAAUCCCAUCGAUCAAUUUCAACUUCAAUACUUUUCUAAGGAGAAACGAUUUCGAUUAGUCGAGAAAGGUAAGAUCAUAGAUGACCCUAGUCCACAAGUGCUUAAAGGUAAGCCAUGUAAGGGAUCUACUGUAUUUGAGUCUUCUCAAUCUUACUUGAUUCUUGAUGACGAGAUUAGCAAAGACUUAGUUUGUGAGAAAGUUUUUCAUCUUGAUCUGAUUGGAAAUCAUAAUUUGAUUGUUGAUAAAUGUGUUUUACAUAGUAAUGUGAAAUAUCUUUCUGCUCAUGAGCCUAUCAUUGUCAAGAUUGAUCAAGAAGUAAGUCCAGGUAAGCCCAAACAAAAUUUGGGAUUGUGUGAUGAAAAGUUGACAUCUAAUCUGUGUGCUUGUGAUGAUCAUGUGAAUUAUUUAAAUUGUGGUGUGAACUUUUCUUGUUUACGUGUGCGAAUGAAAUAUGAAGGGUUUGAUUGCUCGAAUGUAUGUAUGCCUAACUCCUAUUUGCUUGACAUGUGUGAAGUCUUGGUGAAGAAGAAAUUUUUGUUGCGUUGCGAAACGACCAAUGAAAAUCGCGUUUUUAAACCCGGGAUAUACAUUCCUAAGUUAACGUCAAGCCAAGCAAGAGGAAGCUUCGUUUUUGACCCCGGAGAUUAUUAUUCUUUGUUCUUGUUAAAAGGGUUUGGAUUUUGCAAUUUUGACUUUCGAGAUUAUGUCUUUCGACUGUUUUGUGGUUCGGAUUUGUUUCUAUCCAUGAACUUUUUGAUUCAUUUUGGAAAGGUAAGACUGAAUUUCAUUUUUGAUCCUGGCAUUGGGUUAAGCAUCCCAAUUUUGAAUAAGCAUCUAAAAAUAUCAUUUGUGUUUAUAAUUUUUAGUGUCUCUAAUUCCUUUCAUUCUUGUGUAGGUGACACUCUAAAUUGUUUCCCUCUUAAAGAGGGAGGGCGUGGAAAUAAUUCAAUUUCUUAUCGAACCAUUUGUGAUUUUCAAAGUUUAGGAAAUGAUUCUAUUCGGAUCAUGAACAAAAGGGUUCGAGAUCUUGAAAAAAUUUUUCUCGAGCAAAUGGCCCGAUUUGAGGACAAAUCGCCUUAAAGAGGGAGGGGAUGAUACGACCACGCCUCGGGCACAUUUUUCGAUCAGCUCCAUAAGUAUUUCUUGCACACCCAUGCGAGCUAAAUUAGCUCAAUUGCAUCUCGCUGAGCUUCGUUUAGCUUGUUUCCAGCUCAAUGGGAUCAUUUUGCUCAAUUUGAGUUUAUUUUAAUUCUUAAAUUUUCAUUUGCUAAAAUAAAUUGAAUAAGUUAAUUUAUUUAUUUAUUCCAGCACAACUAAGUGUUAGUAUUAAAUUUAUUAAAAUUGGACAUUUUAAUUAGGUGUUUUAAAUAUGUUUUAUUUUUAUGUUUUUUUAAUGUGUCCUAUUUUCAUACAUAGCAUAAAUAUGUCUAGGCUAUUACAUCUAUUUAUUAUGACGAAUUUAAUGCUGCCACUGCAUGUUAUAAAUAUGUCUGGACAAAAUUAAUGCUGCUGCUACAUGUUUGGACGAAUUUAAUGUAUGUUUUUAAGGUGUCCAGCUGAAUUUAAUUGUCAUUACAUCAUUUAAUUUGCUUUGCUACAACCGAAUUUAAUGAUGUCUUAAAUGGUGUCCAGUUGAAGUUAAUUGUGGCUGCCGAAUUAAAUAUGUCUAGUUAACCAUUUAAUGUUGUCUUAACAUGAAUUAAUGGUUGUUGCAUGCAGGUACAUGGACAGCAUUAAAUGAAGUGGUUGUUGCCGAAAUUAAAAUUGCUGGAAUUAAUGUGCAGCAAAAGCAAUUAUGGACGGCCAUUCAAUGGAUGCUGGAAGCAUUUAAGGAGCUCCUUGUGCUUUUUCAUGUGGCCAUUUAAUGGACGAAAUUAAAGAAGCUGCUUGCUGAUUUAUUGUGCAGCAAAGCCAUGAAUUAAAUGUGAUGUUCCACAUGCAAGGAACGUCCACUUAAUGAGCUGCUGAUUUAUUUUUUUCGUGCACAGCAAGGGAUCCAUGAAGAGUUGCUGAUUCCUCUUUUCCAUGAGCCAUUUUCGUUCUUCUCAAAUGCCAUAAAUGUGCCGUCCAUGUGAGGGAAUGUGCCUCUUCGUGGAGAUUAAAAAGCUAUGACUCCUCACAUUUAUUUGGCAGCCCAUUUCUCUUCCCCAAGUUGGCCUUUGAGCUCCCCAAGCAUCCAUAAGAGCUUUCACACAAGUUGGACGAAUUUAGGCCAAUCUAAACAAUUCUAUUCAGCCAUUUCAGCUCAAUCAUCACCUCAUUAAUUCAAGGCUAUUAGAAGACAUCAAAUGGCUGUCCAUUGACGUCUCCAAAGCUGGGAAUCUUCAAGAAAGCUUCAAGGGACGUUCUAGGAAGCUACAUGAAAUUUUCAAUUCAUUUGCUUUGAAAAUAAGCUGACUUUUUAGCUGCUCAAGUGUCCAUUCAGCUAGCCUAGGAAUUUAGCUAUAAAUAGUUUGCUUUGUAAUUUUUUUGGGGUUAGGCAAUAUUUUUUUAAAACUUAUAUGAAAUUUGUUUACUUUGUGAGUUUGUUUUCAACUCUCAUUGUUCUCCAAGGACUAGUUAGACUUAUCAAGUAACCCUUGUGGCGUCAACCCGUUUUUAUAUUUCGAACUUAUCACUUUACACCCAAAGUGUGGCGUUCAAAGUUAUACCGAGGUUCCUAUCAUCUUUGAUAGUGGGUCGAGGUUCCAUUUUAUUCGUUUUCCAUCCAUAUGACAUUUAACCUUUCCUAAGUUUUCGUAUAAGUCCCGGGUUAACACAUUUAUAUUGUGUUGGUUCAACUUGAAUAUUUGGUUUUCAUUCACCUAUCAACCUCAAUACAUUCCAUAACCCCUUUUGAACUAAAUUUGAGCCUUUAUCUCUUCUUUCUUAACCUAUUUCGUCCACCCUCGAGUAUUACUCCAAUUCACGAUCGGGAACAACAACGACUCGGAUUCAUCAACGAGGCCGGGGGCGUAUCAUUUGGUAUCAGAGCUAGCUGAAUCGGAGUAAGAUCGACGUUAUCGGUAUUACGGUAUUGUAAAAAAAAUAAAAAAAACUUGAAAAAAAAUUCGAAAAAAAAUUUUAAAAAAAAGUUUGUAUUCAAUUUAUUUUUACUUUUUGUAUUUAGUAUUGAAGGAAAAAAAGAAGAAAAAAAAUUCGGAAUUAAAAAAAAAGAAGAAAAAAAAAUCGAAAUUGAAAAAAAAAAGAGUGAUUGAAAUUCAUUUUGGGUUUGUAAAAGCAUUGCUUGUUGCCCGAAGGACCAUAUCUAUAUAGCCACACUUAACCAUUCUAUUUUGUUUGAUAGCCUACCAUUUCCGACAUCAUUACCCACCAAGCCAAAUCAAUUUUGUAAGCCGACGCCAAACGGUAUUGAUUCGUCGACUUAGUUUGCGAAGAACUUCGAGAGGCAAAAACUCGAGUGGAAAAAGGCAAGAGUGAUUGGUGAGACCAUUUGAGAGAAGUAAAAGCCAAGUUGUGUGAAUUUUCUUUGCGAGUGAAACGUGAGAUUUUUGUGGUGAGCAAUUAAAUCAUGUCUCAAGAAGAAUUUUCCGAAUCAGAAUUCCAAUAUUUGAUGCAAGAAAUGCGUAGAAUGGUAAAAUUAAAAUUUGAUAAAUUGCAUUAUCGUUUGGACCGAGUGGAGGAAAAGGCCCGAUAGAAACAAAAUCUACCAAAUCGAGAAACGGAGUUAAGAUCAUCCCGACGACACUACUCGACAAGUGACUCUUAUCAAGACUUCUAUUCAACAAGGCGUUCGAGACCAAGAGAAGCAAACUCCGAGUUUGAGUCCUUCCGAGAUGAUAAACGAAAAGGUAAACGUGUCUCUAUAAGUGCCUCAAUUUAUUCAUCUACAAAGGAUUAUUUACGAAGAGGUGCACGUGUUUCAAGAGUGUCAAAGUACUCGACUACGGAAGAUCUAUCACAAAGAGAAGAUUGCCAUUUUUAUGAAGAAUCCUUUUCUUAUUCUCAACGAAAGGCUUCUCAUUUUGAUGAUUUCUACUUUUGUAAUGGAAUUGAAAUAGCAUGUGAAAAAGAAAAAGAAAAAGAGUGCGAGCUAGAAAAUGAACAUGAAAAAGAAAUGAAAGAAAAAGAAGAUGAGUGGGAGAUAGAAAAGAAAAUUGAAAAUGAGAUUGAGAAUAAAAACGAGUGCGAAAAAGAAAAGGAAACCGAAAAAGAGAGUGAGAUUGAAGGAAGAAACGAGAGUACAAAAGAAAUGAGUGAUAUGGUAAAAGAAAGAGGAUUUGAAAAUGAGUUGGAAAAAGAAAUAAACGAAAAGGAUGAAAGUGAAAAAGAAAGGAGUGUUGUUACUAACCAUCCUAUGAAUUUUCCUUGUUUUGUUUCUACUUUUCAGGUUUCUCGAAAUCCCAUCGAUCAAUUUCAACUUCAAUACUUUUCUAAGGAGAAACGAUUUCGAUUAGUCGAGAAAGGUAAGAUCAUAGAUGACCCUAGUCCACAAGUGCUUAAAGGUAAGCCAUUUAAGGGAUCUACUGUAUUUGAGUCUUCUCAAUCUUACUUGAUUCUUGAUGACGAGAUUAGCAAAGACUUAGUUUGUGAGAAAGUUUUUCAUCUUGAUCUGAUUGGAAAUCAUAAUUUGAUUGUUGAUAAAUGUGUUUUACAUAGUAAUGUGAAAUAUCUUUCUGCUCAUGAGCCUAUCAUUGUCAAGAUUGAUCAAGAAGUAAGUCCAGGUAAGCCCAAACAAAAUUUGGGAUUGUGUGAUGAAAAGUUGACAUCUAAUCUGUGUGCUUGUGAUGAUCAUGUGAAUUAUCUAAAUUGUGGUGUGAACUUUUCUUGUUUACGUGUGCGAAUGAAAUAUGAAGGGUUUGAUUGCUCGAAUGUAUGUAUGCCUAACUCCUAUUUGCUUGACAUGUGUGAAGUCUUGGUGAAGAAGAAAUUUUUGUUGCGUUGCGAAACGACCAAUGAAAAUCGCGUUUUUAAACCCGGGAUAUACAUUCCUAAGUUAACGUCAAGCCAAGCAAGAGGAAGCUUCGUUUUUGACCCCGGAGAUUAUUAUUCUUUGUUCUUGUUAAAAGGGUUUGGAUUUUGCAAUUUUGACUUUCGAGAUUAUGUCUUUCGACUGUUUUGUGGUUCGGAUUUGUUUCUAUCCAUGAACUUUUUGAUUCAUUUUGGAAAGGUAAGACUGAAUUUCAUUUUUGAUCCUGGCAUUGGGUUAAGCAUCCCAAUUUUGAAUAAGCAUCUAAAAAUAUCAUUUGUGUUUAUAAUUUUUAGUGUCUCUAAUUCCUUUCAUUCUUGUGUAGGUGACACUCUAAAUUGUUUCCCUCUUAAAGAGGGAGGGCGUGGAAAUAAUUCAAUUUCUUAUCGAACCAUUUGUGAUUUUCAAAGUUUAGGAAAUGAUUCUAUUCGGAUCAUGAACAAAAGGGUUCGAGAUCUUGAAAAAAUUUUUCUCGAGCAAAUGGCCCGAUUUGAGGACAAAUCGCCUUAAAGAGGGAGGGGAUGAUACGACCACGCCUCGGGCACAUUUUUCGAUCAGCUCCAUAAGUAUUUCUUGCACACCCAUGCGAGCUAAAUUAGCUCAAUUGCAUCUCGCUGAGCUUCGUUUAGCUUGUUUCCAGCUCAAUGGGAUCAUUUUGCUCAAUUUGAGUUUAUUUUAAUUCUUAAAUUUUCAUUUGCUAAAAUAAAUUGAAUAAGUUAGUUUAUUUAUUUAUUCCAGCACAACUAAGUGUUAGUAUUAAAUUUAUUAAAAUUGGACAUUUUAAUUAGGUGUUUUAAAUAUGUUUUAUUUUUAUGUUUUUUUAAUGUGUCCUAUUUUCAUACAUAGCAUAAAUAUGUCUAGGCUAUUACAUCUAUUUAUUAUGAUGAAUUUAAUGCUGCCACUGCAUGUUAUAAAUAUGUCUGGACGAAAUUAAUGCUGCUGCUACAUGUUUGGACGAAUUUAAUGUAUGUUUUUAAGGUGUCCAGCUGAAUUUAAUUGUCAUUACAUCAUUUAAUUUGCUUUGCUACAACCGAAUUUAAUGAUGUCUUAAAUGGUGUCCAGUUGAAGUUAAUUGUGGCUGCCGAAUUAAAUAUGUCUAGUUAACCAUUUAAUGUUGUCUUAACAUGAAUUAAUGGUUGUUGCAUGCAGGUACAUGGACAGCAUUAAAUGAAGUGGUUGUUGCCGAAAUUAAAAUUGCUGGAAUUAAUGUGCAGCAAAAGCAAUUAUGGACGGCCAUUCAAUGGAUGCUGGAAGCAUUUAAGGAGCUGCUUGUGCUUUUUCAUGUGGCCAUUUAAUGGACGAAAUUAAAGAAGCUGCUUGCUGAUUUAUUGUGCAGCAAAGCCAUGAAUUAAAUGUGAUGUUCCACAUGCAAGGAACGUCCACUUAAUGAGCUGCUGAUUUAUUUUUUUCGUGCACAGCAAGGGAUCCAUGAAGAGUUGCUGAUUCCUCUUUUCUAUGAGCCAUUUUCGUUCUUCUCAAAUGCCAUAAAUGUGCCGUCCAUGUGAGGGAAUGUGCCUCUUCGUGGAGAUUAAAAAGCUAUGACUCCUCACAUUUAUUUGGCAGCCCAUUUCUCUUCCCCAAGUUGGCCUUUGAGCUCCCCAAGCAUCCAUAAGAGCUUUCACACAAGUUGGACGAAUUUAGGCCAAUCUAAACAAUUCUAUUCAGCCAUUUCAGCUCAAUCAUCACCUCAUUAAUUCAAGGCUAUUAGAAGACAUCAAAUGGCUGUCCAUUGACGUCUCCAAAGCUGGGAAUCUUCAAGAAAGCUUCAAGGGACAUUCUAGGAAGCUACAUGAAAUUUUCAAUUCAUUUGCUUUGAAAAUAAGCUGACUUUUUAGCUGCUCAAGUGUCCAUUCAGCUAGCCUAGGAAUUUAGCUAUAAAUAGUUUGCUUUGUAAUUGUUUUGGGGUUAGGCAAUAUUUUUUUAAAACUUAUAUGAAAUUUGUUUACUUUGUGAGUUUGUUUUCAACUCUCAUUGUUCUCCAAGGACUGGUUAGACUUAUCAAGUAACCCUUGUGGCGUCAACCCGUUUUUAUAUUUCGAACUUAUCACUUUGCACCCAAAGUGUGGCGUUCAAAGUUAUACCGAGGUUCCUAUCAUCUUUGAUAGUGGGUCGAGGUUCCAUUUUAUUCGUUUUCCAUCCAUACGACAUUUAACCUUUCCUAAGUUUUCGUAUAAGUCCCGGGUUAACACAUUUAUAUUGUGUUGGUUCAACUUGAAUAUUUGGUUUUCAUUCACCUAUCAACCUCAAUACAUUCCAUAACCCCUUUUGAACUAAAUUUGAGCCUUUAUCUCUUCUUUCUUAACCUAUUUCGUCCACCCUCGAGUAUUACUCCAAUUCACGAUCGGGAACAACAACGACUCGGAU